rnacentral:rRNA from 1 species
UAAGGCGAAGUCACUGAUCCUAUGCUGCCAAGAAAAGCCCAACAGUGAGUUGGCACGGCACCCGUACCCCAAACCGACACAGGUGGGCGGGUAGAGAAUACCAAGGCGAUCGGGAGAACUAUGGUUAAGGAACUCGGCAAAUUGCAUCCGUAACUUCGGGAGAAGGAUGACCCUAUUAGGGUGAAGGGAUUUACUCCCAGAGCUCGAGAGGGUGGCACAGACCAGGGGGUAGCGACUGUUUACCAAAAACACAGCAGCGUGCCAAGCCGCAAGGCGCAGUAUACGCUGUGACGCCUGCCCAAUGCUGGAAGGUCACGGGGAACGGUUAGUCGUAAGGCGAAGCUGUGAACCUAAGCCCCAGUGAAUGGCGGCCGUAACUAUAACGGUCCUAAGGUAGCGAAAUUCCUUGUCGGGUAGGUUCCGACCUGCACGAAUGGCGUAACGACUUCCCCACUGUCUCAACCAUAGACCCGGCGAAAUUGAAGUACGAGUAAAGAUGCUCGUUAGCUGCGGAAGGACGAAAAGACCCCAUGGACCUUUACUAUAACUUGAUAUUGAGCUUUGUCCUGCAUUGUGUAGGAUAGGUGGGAGACUUGGAAGCGGUGGCGCCAGCUAUCGUGGAGUCAACGUUGAAAUACCACCCUGUGUAUGACGGGGCUCUAACCUGGGUCCAUUAUCUGGAUCAGGAACAGUGUCAGGCGGGUAGUUUGACUGGGGCGGUCGCCUCCUAAAAUGUAACGGAGGCGCCCAAAGGUUCCCUCAGGCUGGUUGGCAAUCAGCCGUCGAGUGCAAUGACACAAGGGAGCUUGACUGCGAGACUGACAGGUCAAGCAGGUGCGAAAGCAGGGCAUAGUGACCCGGCCAUCACGUGUGGAAGUGUGGUCGCUCAACGGAUAAAAGGUACCCCGGGGAUAACAGGCUAAUCUCCCCCAAGAGUCCAUAUCGACGGGGAGGUUUGGCACCUCGAUGUCGGCUCAUCGCAUCCUGGGGCUGAAGCAGGUCCCAAGGGUUGGGCUGUUCGCCCAUUAAAGCGGUACGCGAGCUGGGUUCAGAACGUCGUGAGACAGUUCGGUCCCUAUCCUCCGCAGCCGAAGGUGUAUUGAGGAAGGCUGUCCCUAGUACGAGAGGACCGGGACGGACGGAGCUCUGGUGUGUCUGUUGUCCUGCCAAGGGCAUUGCAGAUUAGCCACCUCCGGAAGGGAUAACUGCUGAAAGCAUCUAAGUAGGAAACCCGUUCCAAGAUGAGUACACCCAUGCGGUUAACGCAGUAAGGCCCGUGACAAGACCAUCACGUUGAUAGGCCGGAGGUGUAAGCACGGUAACGUGUGUAGCCGACCGGUACUAAUCGGCCGAGGGCUUGGACU